AAGGAAGGUUUUGGAUAGGAGUAGCGCUCACUACCUCCUUUCCCUUUGCAAUUCUAGCACUCUUCCAUCUAGGCUUUUUCACUACCUCCCUUAUUACCUCAUCACUUGUAUUUUUCCCCAUCUCCACACCUUUUUCUUUUUCAACUUCACCAUUAUUUUUAUUCUUUUCAACUUCUUCCUCAUCACUCCACACUCCUACUUCACCAUCAACAUUUUCCUCCACUAUUUCCUCCUCAAUUUCUUUCUCUUUCUCUCUUUGUUCACUCUCAACUCUUUUUUUAUUCUCACUACCCAACUCCCUCCCACUUCUCGUCAUGAUCGCCUUA
rnacentral:lncRNA from 1 species